rnacentral:tRNA from 1 species
GGUUGUGGCUCAGUGGUAGAGCACUUGCCUAGCAUGCAUAAGGCACUAGGUUUGAACCUCAGCACCA